rnacentral:rRNA from 1 species
AUUGAACGCUGGCGGCAGGCCUAACACAUGCAAGUCGAACGAAGUGGCGAACGGGUGAGUAAUACGUGAGUAACCUGCCCUCCUUUUUGGGAUAAGCCAUGGAUACGGGGUCUAAUACCGAAUCAAGGGGGAUUGGCUCGCGGCCUAGUAGCUGGGUUGUGGGGUGAUGGCCUACAAAGGCGGUGACGGGUAGCAGGCCUGAGAGGGUGACAGGCGGAAUUGGGCAUGGGAUAGAGCCCAGAGUGCGACGGCAGGCGGGAGUGGGGGACAUUGGAGAAUGGGCGAAAGCAUGAUGCAGCGGCGCCGCGUGGGGGAUGAAGGCUUUCGGGUUGUAAAUCUCUUGCGCUAUCGAACGGGUAGGUGGAGAAGAAGCGCCGGCUAACUACGUGCCAGCCGCCGCGGUAAUAC